GUGGACGGUCAUAGUGGCUGGGUUCCACCUGUUCCCAUUCGAACACAGAAGUUAAAACAGCCGACGUUCCUGUGUGUACUGUACUCUGUACGGGAAAUCAGGAUCGCUGUCCACA
rnacentral:rRNA from 1 species